ensembl:lncRNA
AGAGACAGAGGCAGAAAUGAGGAGGGAGAAACAGCAGAUGGCCAUGACAAAAACAACAUAGAUACCUGCUAUCACACUCACAGACUUUCAGCUUCAUUUAUCAGAUUUUAAACUCAGGGAUUCUGUGAUUCUUGAAAAAUACCACCAUCUUUUGGACAUUUAUCGCACUUUAAAUGAAGAAGCAAUGUCUGCUGUAACGUCUGCAUCUCUCUGCCUGACUUUACUGUCUGUCUGCCUCUUGUUUGUCUCUGCAGACCAGAAAAUCAUCAUAGCUGUGCCGGGACAGACGGUCACUCUGCCAUGUCGAGCUCCAAACAGCGGCAACCCCAUCAUAGCUGCAGAGUGGAGCAGAGCUGACCUGGAGCAAGAAUAUGUCCUUUUUUACCGGGACGAUAAGCUUGAUACAGAAGAGCAGCAUCCGUCUUUUAAGAACCGGGUGGAUCUGCAGGACAGACAGAUGAAGGAUGGAGACAUGUCUCUGAUUCUGAAGGAUGUGACGACUGAUGACUCGGGAGCAUACGAGUGUUACGUGGUCCAGAGAGGAGCGAACCGCAGGAAGAGAGCCAGUCUGGAUAGUGACCCCAUCAGCACCACCUACCUGACUGUUGUUCCUCCAAGCCAGAAAAACAUCACAGCUGAGUCUGGACAGAACGUCACUCUGACAUGUCGAGCGCCAAACACUGUCCUCAUACCAGGUGUAGAGUGGAGCAGACGUGACUUGAAGGCACAAUAUGUGCUUUGGUACUGGGAAAAACAAUUUGUUCCAUAUUACCAGCAUCCAUCUUUUAAGAACCGGGUGGAUCUGCAGGACAGACAGAUGAAGGAUGGAGGCGUGUCUUUGAUUCUGAAGGAUGUUACGACUGCUGAUAGGGGAACAUAUGAGUGUUGUGUCGUCCAUGAAGUAAGAGAAGGUAGAAAGUUGGCCAUUUUAAAGACUGAGCCCAUCAGCGUCAUCCACCUAAAGGUUAUUUCACCAGGUCAGCCAGGAGGACACGGAGAGGAUGGAGCUGUUGGACUAACAGUUGUUAUUGUGCUUUCUAUUGCUCUUUUUGCAACUAUAAUAUACUACAUAAAAAUGAUAGAAAAUACAGAAGGAGAAAAAAACAGCACUUCCCAGACGAGCAGCAAGCUGAAACGCUCCACUCGUGUCACUCGUCCCACCUUUCGUAGCAAAAAGACAGAUGCUUCCAAGACAGAUAUCACAAAACCAUGAACAGAAAAAAAACCUGUGAUAAGAACCUGGAUGAAGGGGCAAAGUCAGCACUUUUCAGUUGCAGUGAAAAUAAAACAAAGAAACAAAAAGAAAGAAAAUUGAAAAAAAGAAAAACCCACCAAUGAUAAAAUCUACCUCUGUUACCUUUCUGGCACUUAGGCAGUUAGACAUUCUUUAGAUUCCUACAGUUUACAAUCUUGAGAUCAAGGUUUAAAGCAGAAAAAAAUGAUGCAAGUAUUUCCAUCACAGUCGGAUUAAAAUCUGUUCACUGUAAAAAAAAAAAAAAAAAAGUAAGUAUUUGGGGAGGUGAACCUGAACCACUAGGUCAGUUCUGAUAGAUCAGAGAGUUACUGGAUCUUAUCUGACAUCUGUUUCUGCCUGGUUACAGUUGAUGAGUAAGAGACAAAGAAAGGUGUUUUGCCGUUUUUUUUUGUCAAACUUGUUUUGUGGACUCCCGCAUGAAAAUACUGCUUAAAACAAUUAAAGGAGCACUUUAAAAAUAGAUCAGACGUCAAAGCUCAUGCUAGACAGGUAUAUGAUAUGGAGUGGGUAGCGUGUUAAAAGGGAUGCCACAUAGUUUCAUGGAAAUGAAACUUAUCUAGUAGACUGAACUUAAAGAAACAUCAAACAUCAAGGUGAAAGGAUUAUGUGGAAGGCUGGUCCAUUUUUCAGUAACUCAUACUGGUGCUCAGUUUGGAUGGCUCCCAUGUGCUUGUAUGUCUACCUGACAACAUCAGGUCAUGCUAAUGAUGGAUGGUGUCUCCUCCGAGACCUGGAAUAAGGCAUCACUGAGCUCCUCGACCAUCUGAGGUGGACCGAAAAUUUAAUGUCACCAAGGUGUUCAAUUGGAUUUUGAACCGGUCAGUGGCAUCAAUUUCUUCAGCCUUCAGGAACUGCCUGCAUACUCUUGCCACAUAGCACUGGGAAUUAUUGUGCACCAGGAGGAACCCAGGAUCCAGGAUAUGCCAGACCAUCACUGACCAACAACCAACUGCCAACCUGUGUAGGGUCCAGGUAUAGACUCGUGCUACCAGCAAUGACACUGACCCCAGCCAAAUGAAAAACUAGUAAAAAAAAAUCAGAAAAGAUGAGGGGGGUUGAGUUGCCUGAUUGUUGCUAAACUCUGAUUUAAAAAAAGACUGUAUCCGUUUUUAAAGUUUAGUAUUUUCCCAUCUGUCCAUGAAAUGUUAAGUGGUGAAAAAGAAAAAAGAAAUUCUUUGUGGCACAAUAUUAUCAGGAUCAAUAAAAAUAAAAUAUGCA